AUUCCUGAAAUGUAAUUCCCUCCCUAUUUCCAGUCACCUGGCCCAGAACCCGUUUAUCUGUGACUGUAACCUGAAGUGGCUGGCAGACUACCUUCGCUCCAACCCAAUAGAGACCAGCGGUGCACGCUGUGCCAGCCCCAGACGACUGGCCAACAAACGCAUCGGGCAGAUCAAGAGCAAGAAGUUCCGCUGCUCUGCCAAGGAACAAUACUUCAUCCCUGGCACCGAGGACGUCCGUUUGAAUAAUGAGUGUAACAGUGAUCCAGUCUGUCCUCCUAAAUGCCGCUGUGAGUCCAACGUGGUGGACUGCUCCAACCUACGCCUCAAUAAGAUACCAGAACACAUCCCUUCCUCUACCACUGAACUUCGUCUGAACAACAAUGAUAUCAGCACACUGGAGGCUGUAGGG